ACAGCACACCAACCCUCUGCUGUGUGUGGUGCACUGGGAACCACAUCGGGACACUGAAAAAUGAACCAGGAUUUUAAAUGAGAAGGCAGGAAUAUAUCACCUCCCAAGAAAGAUACUGUAGCAAUAGAUAAAAUAACAUUCCAUUGGGUCAACUUCGGGUCCCACUGUUAUUUUACAGCACUGGACUUGAUCUUCGGUGAUGCUCAGCCCAAAUGCCUUCACUGCCCUCCCUUAUUGGCUUCUUGAAGAAAAGAGGGACAUGGUGAUAAUUUCCAUGACAACACAGAAAGAUUCCAGAAACAGAGAUUUCUGACUAAAUAUAUGAAGGUUGUUGAAAAGCACAACUGCAAGAAUUCUGCCUACUCACUGGGAAUAACAGACAGAAGAGUUAAGCCUCUGUGUGUGUGACAAUGCUGGUACCAGCUGUAAAGUCCUGGGAUUCCCAUAUCCUGGUUAUCCCAGACGUGCACAGGGAUGGGAACUGGGCAUCCUCCCUACCUGAGUGCUUCAGGAACUGAUCCAAAGAGAAACCUCUGGAUGGACAACUGUUAAAGAGAAGGUGACGCGGGGAAAAAGGUAGGGAUGAUAUCUUUAUUGGGGCAUCUGGACUUGCUGCAACACUGAGAGGAAACCUUCAAAAGAAUGAGAAGCGUGAGAAACUGCCUACAAAAUGCUGCUCCAAGGACCUAUUUUGCCCAAAUAAUCACUUUCAGAAACAGUCAACAUGCUUUUAAAGAAAAAUAACCUGGAAAAAUAGUGAUAUAAAAGCUCCCUUUGAAGAGACCCUGUAAGGCUGAAGCUUGCAUUUGAACAAAUCUCUCCCUAAGUUUCUAAGAACACUUUCUAAACCGCCAUUUAAAACUUUUCAGUUACUACUUUUUGCUAUUUAUGCUCUUCAUUGACUUUUUGCCUUUAUUUUCCACUCUUGUGACCAAUCAAAUCUGGUACCUUUUGCUUGCUCAAUACAGCUCACGUCGUUCUCCUCGUGCCCUGCUGCAGUUCAUUGCCUGUGUUUGGGAACACCACCAUCCCCAAGAGAAGCAGGAUUUAAUUACUUUUAUUAAUGAAAUCCACUUUUGAAGAUUAAACCAUUUGACUAUGUCCCUUUCAAAAUGGAAAAAACUGGGAACAAAACCUAUUUUUAAAAAUCGCAGUUUGCAAAUUCUUGUCUCAAAGAGCAAAUUCUGUGAGUUCCUCUGCAGACCCAGUAAGUUCUGUAGGUUCCUUUGCAGAACCAGCUCAGACUUUAUAGGAAGAUGUGAAGACCAAGUGAAAGAGCCUCUCACACAACCUAAAUUGUUACAGCUCGUCGCCUUUCUGGGGAAAACAAUUGCUGUGGCUCCCUCAGAGCGCGGUGGCAGAUUUCCCUUUGGAGGUCAGGGCCUGUUUCAAGCGUCUCUUCAGGUCCUGCAUGUUGGGGGACUUGGGCCGGACGAGGUGGAGGCCGCGGCGCUUCUCUCCGUUGCAGCUGCCGAUGAUCCUGCUGAGCUCCUGGCACAGCUGCUGGAAGGCCUCGUGCACACCCUCGCAGUUCUCCCGGGCCGACACCUCGUGGUAAGUGCCCCCCAGCUCCCCGGCCAGCUGCAGCCCCUCCUUGGAGGACACCUGCCUGGCCCGCAGCAGGUCGCCCUUGUUGGCCACGAGCAGCAGGGGGAUGUUGGCGUUGGGGUGGAUCCUGCGGAUGUGCUGGUGCAGCGGGCGCAGCACGCGGUAGCUCUCGUAGUCCGUGAUGGAGUACACGAACACGAAGCCGUCGGCCCAGUAGAUGGAGCGGUUUAUCUGCUCCUGGCAGCAGAUGCUGUCGGUGUCGUCCUGCGCCAAAGCAAGAGGGGGAUGUUAGGAAAACAGGGAGCAGACAGAGCCACGGCGGUGCCGCGGGACUGGAGCGCGUGGGGUUGGGGUGAGGCUGUUGGUCAUUGCACCGGCAGAAACUUCUCCCAGCAUACCAGGGACAGGGGACACCCCAGUCACACCGGGCCAGGGGGCUCAGCCUGGA